rnacentral:rRNA from 1 species
UAGCUCCUUCGGGAGUGUUAUAGCCCGCGGCGCCAUGCCUCUGGGGGGGCCGAGGACCGCGCCUUCGGGCAAGGAUGCUGGCGUAAUGGCCACCAGCGACCCGUCUUGAAACACGGACCAAGGAGUCAAGCAUUGGGGCGAGUGUUUGGGUGACAAACCCGCACGCGAAAUGAAAGUGAACGCAGGUGGGAGCCUUCGGGCGCACCACCGACCGAUCCUGAUGUUUUCGGAUGGAUUUGAGUAGGAGCCUUGCCGCUUGGACCCGAAAGAUGGUGAACUAUGCCUGUAUAGGGUGAAGCCAGAGGAAACUCUGGUGGAGGCUCGCAGCGGUUCUGACGUGCAAAUCGAUCGUCAAAUAUGGGCAUGGGGCGAAAGACUAAUCGAACC